rnacentral:rRNA from 1 species
AAUAGAUACCCUGGUAGUCCACCCCGUAAACGUUGGGAACUAGUUGUGGGGUCCUUUCCACGGAUUCCGUGACGCAGCUAACGCAUUAAGUUCCCCGCCUGGGGAGUACGGCCGCAAGGCUAAAACUCAAAGGAAUUGACGGGGACCCGCACAAGCGGCGGAGCAUGCGGAUUAAUUCGAUGCAACGCGAAGAACCUUACCAAGGCUUGACAUACACCAGAACACCCUAGAAAUAGGGGACUCUUUGGACACUGGUGAACAGGUGGUGCAUGGUUGUCGUCAGCUCGUGUCGUGAGAUGUUGGGUUAAGUCCCGCAACGAGCGCAACCCUCGUUCUAUGUUGCCAGCACGUAAUGGUGGGAACUCAUGGGAUACUGCCGGGGUCAACUCGGAGGAAGGUGGGGAUGACGUCAAAUCAUCAUGCCCCUUAUGUCUUGGGCUUCACGCAUGCUACAAUGGCCGGUACAAAGGGCUGCAAUACCGUGAGGUGGAGCGAAUCCCAAAAAGCCGGUCCCAGUUCGGAUUGAGGUCUGCAACUCGA